CCUUCGGGAACGUCUGACACAGGUGCUGCAUGGCUGCCGUCAGCUCGUGUCGUGAGAUGUUGGGUUAAGUCCGUAACGAGCGCAACCCUUGUCCUUAGUUACCAGCACGUUAUGGUGGGCACUCUAAGGAGACUGCCGGUGACAAACCGGAGGGAAGGUGGGGAUGACGUCAAGUCAUCAUGGCCCUUACGGCCUGGGCUACACACGUGCUACAAUGGUCGGUACAAAGGGUUGCCAAGCCGCGAGGUGGAGCUAAUCCCAUAAAACCGAUCGUAGUCCGGAUCGCAGUCUGCAACUCGACUGCGUGAAGUCGGAAUCGCUAGUAAUCGUGAAUCAGAAUGUCACGGUGAAUACGUUCCCGGGCCUU
rnacentral:rRNA from 1 species